rnacentral:rRNA from 1 species
UAAUAAACGGAGCCGAAGGGAAACCAAGUCUUAACAGGGCGACAAGUCGUUAGCCAUAGACGCGAAACCUAGUGAUCUAGGCCUGUCCAGGCUGAAGCUGAGGUAAGACUCAGUGGAGGGCCGAACUCACCGCCGUUGAAAAGUUGGGAGAUGAGGCAGGUCUAGGGGUGAAAAGCCAAUCGAACUAGGAGAUAGCUCGUUCUCUCCGAAAUGCAUUUAGGUGCAGCCUUGGCAUUGAGAUAUGUGGGGGUAGAGCUCUGUAUGAUCUAGGGGGCGUACUGCUUACCGAAAUCAAGCAAACUGCGAAUACCAUAUAUUAUUGCCAGGAGUGAGUCCGUGGAUGACAAGGUCCUCGGACGAGAGGGGAACAGCCCAGACCACCAGCUAAGGUCCCUAAUUAUGUCUAAGUGGGAAAGGAGGUGGACAUUCACAGACAACCAGGAGGUUGGCUUAGAAGCAGCCAUGCCUUGAAAGAGUGCGUAACAGCUCACUGGUCGAGAGUGCCCGCGCCGAAGAUGUAACGGGGCUAAGACAUAAACCGAAGCUGUGGAAGAUACAUCAGUAUCUUGGUAGGAGAGCGUUCUGUAGGUCUAUGAAGGCAUGCCGCAAGGCUUGCUGGAGAUAUCAGAAGCGAGAAUGCAGGAAUGAGUAGCGAGAAGGCGGGUGAGAAUCCCGCCGGCCGGAAGUCCAAGGUUUCCAGGGGAAGGCUUGUCCGCCCUGGGGAAGUCGGGACCUAAGCAUAAGCAAAAUUGUGACGGCGAAUGGAAAACAGGUUAAUAUUCCUGUACCACUAUUAUCGCUUGAGAGACGGAGUGACGCAGGAAGGUAUGUGAGAAGGCUGACGGUUUAGCCUUUCUAAGGGCCCAGCGUGGGCGCGCAGGAAAAUCCGCGCGCCUAAACGUGAGACCUGACGGGGAAGUGCAUAUGCAUAAGUCACAGAUCCUACACUGCCUAGAAAAACUUCUAUCGAUGAGAAGUAGUGCCCGUACUGUAAACCGACACAGGUGGACAGAGUGAGAAACUUAAGGCCGACAGGAUAACUCUAGCUAAGGAACUCUGCAAAAUAGCCCCGUAACUUCGGGAGAAGGGGUGCCUGACAUACCUGAAAGGAGAAACACCUCCAGGGGAAACAGGCCGCAGUGAAGAGUCCCAAGCAACUGUUUACCAAAAACACAGGUCUAUGCUAAGCUGAAAGGCGACGUAUAUGGGCUGACACCUGCCCAGUGCCGGAAGGUUAAGAGGAGGAGUGAGAGCUCCGAUUUGAAGCCCCGGUGAACGGCGGCCGUAACUAUAACGGUCCUAAGGUAGCGAAAUUCCUUGUCGGGUAAGUUCCGACCUGCACGAAUGGUGAAAUGAUUUGGGAGCUGUCUUGGCUGGAGACCUGGUGAAGUUGUAAUGCCGGUGAAGAUACCGGCUACCUGCAGUAGGACGGAAAGACCCCGUGGAGCUUUACUGCAGCUUGGCAUUGGGUUUUGGCAAUGUGUGUAUAGGAUAGUUGGGAGACUGUGAAGCAACGGCGUCAGCUGUUGCCGAGUCGCUGUUGGAAUACCAACCAUAUGCUGCUGAAAUUCUAAUCUGGUAACGGAGACAGUGCUAGGUGGGCAGUUUGACUGGGGCGGUCGCCUCCAAAAGAGUAACGGAGGCGUUCAAAGGUUCCCUCAGGCUGGAUGGAAAUCAGCCUAGGAGUGCAAACGCAUAAGGGAGCUUGACUGCAAGACUGACGGGUCGAGCAGGUACGAAAGUAGGAGUUAGUGAUCCGGCGGUUCCGCAUGGAAGGACCGUCGCUCAACGGAUAAAAGCUACCCCGGGGAUAACAGGCUGAUACUUCCCAAGAGUCCAUAUCGACGGAAGUGUUUGGCACCUCGAUGUCGGCUCGUCUCAUCCUGGGGCUGGAGAAGGUCCCAAGGG